UAAAGAGCUCGUAGGUGGUUUGUUGCGUCGUCUGUGAAAUUCCGGGGCUUAACUCCGGGCGUGCAGGCGAUACGGGCAUAACUUGAGUGCUGUAGGGGAGACUGGAAUUCCUGGUGUAGCGGUGAAAUGCGCAGAUAUCAGGAGGAACACCGAUGGCGAAGGCAGGUCUCUGGGCAGUAACUGACGCUGAGGAGCGAAAGCAUGGGGAGCGAACAGGAUUAGAUACCCUGGUAGUCCAUGCCGUAAACGUUGGGCACUAGGUGUGGGGGACAUUCCACGUUUUCCGCGCCGUAGCUAACGCAUUAAGUGCCCCGCCUGGGGAGUACGGCCGCAAGGCUAAAACUCAAAGGAAUUGACGGGGGCCCGCACAAGCGGCGGAGCAUGCGGAUUAAUUCGAUGCAACGCGAAGAACCUUACCAAGGCUUGACAUAUACUGGACCGCAUCAGAGAUGGUGUUUCCCUUCGGGGCUGGUAUACAGGUGGUGCAUGGUUGUCGUCAGCUCGUGUCGUGAGAUGUUGGGUUAAGUCCCGCAACGAGCGCAACCCUUGUCUUAUGUUGCCAGCACGUUAUGGUGGGGACUCAUGAGAGACUGCCGGGGUUAACUCGGAGGAAGGUGGGGAUGACGUCAAAUCAUCAUGCCCCUUAUGUCUUGGGCUUCACGCAUGCUACAAUGGCCGGUACAGAGGGUUGCGAUACUGUGAGGUGGAGCUAAUCCCUUAAAGCCGGUCUCAGUUCGGAUUGGGGUCUGCAACUCGACCCCAUGAAGGUGGAGUCGCUAGUAAUCGCAGAUCAGCAACGCUGCGGUGAAUACGUUCUCGGGCCUUGUACACACCGCCCGUCACGUCACGAAAGUUGGCAACACCCCAAGCCCGUGGCUCUACGGGGAGCGGUUAAAGGUGGGGCUAGCGAUUGGGACGAAGUCGUAACAAGGUAGCCGUACCGGAAGGUGCGGCUG
rnacentral:rRNA from 1 species